UCUCUUUUUCUAUUGGAAAAUUGUUUUUCGGUUAGGUUUUCCCUUUGCUCUUCUCCAUCUGCUGCUUACGUCGAUUCGAGAUAAAAUUCCUUCAAAGGAUUAAGAGCUACUGUGGAUUUCAUCUCUAUUUCUGUUGGAAAAUUGUUUUUUGCUAGGCAUGGAUGAGGAAGGUCCAGUUGUUAAUGUGAACCAGAGUAAUGAGGAGAGAAUCAGGCAGAAGAAAAAGGAUAAGAAAAAAAGUGCCAAAAGCGAAGUAGAGGGUUAUAAUGUUGAUACUGUGAAAGCAGCUCCAACAUCUGAGAAUCAAUGUAUUGCUGAACUGAACAAGGAUCAUAAAGGGGGCAAAGAAAAGAAGAAGAAGGAGAAGAAAAACAAGGGAGCCGAUGAUGCUAAGGCUGUCAUGAAGAGUGGUUCUAGAAAAAGUGAAUUAAAUGUAGUAUCUGGUGAGAAUGGUGGUGGAUUAAUGAUUGAUAAAGCUAAAAGGGACGGGGAGAGUUCCAGUGGAUUAGCACUGGAUAAUGCUGAAAGGAAGAGAAAACAAAGAGAGAAGAAGGACAAGAAUGAGAUUGUUGAGACACAUGAUACUGGCGAAGUAAAGAGGGGUGCGAGUAUCAAUUGGCAAGAGGGAGAAAAUGCAUCGGGAGAAGUGAGCGGCCAAGAAGUUAUGAAAGAGAAGAAGAAGCAGAAAGUGAAGAGAAACGACGGUAAGGUGGGAGAGAAAGAUGGAGAUGUGAUCCGAGGGGAUAGUGAGAAUUGCAUGGUCAAUGCCGCGGAGAUUAGGAAGGAAAAGAAGGGCAAGAAAAAGAAGAAGAAUGACUGUUUUGUCAUGUCAAGAGACACUCAUACUGACAAUAAAUCUGGUAAAGUUGGUUUAUCUUUAAAAAGGCAGGAAAAUGUGUUGUAUGAUGUUGAAGAUCAUACUCAAUCAAUAAAUGAAGAUGUUGCUACCAAGAAUAAUCAUGAAAGGAAGAAAAAAAAGAAGCACAAAAAGAAAGAACACUACAAAGAUGAUCUGCCUCCUAUUCAGCAAGAGCAUGUAGAUAGUGACACCAACAGUAUUCUGAAUACACUAGAAACACAAAAAAAAGAAGCAGAGCUUACCAACAAAAGGAAGAAAAAGAAGUCCAAACUUUCCGAAAAUGGUUCUACUGAUGAACGAGACAAUGAAGAUGGAUAUGCAAAGAAAGGGAAAAAGAGAAAGUCCAGUUUGGUGGUGAAAGGUUCAGAUGAUACUUUACCUAGCAAAAGUAAUAAGAAAGUCCGAUUUUCUGAUCAAGAUGAGGUAUUUCCUCUCCCUCCUGAAUCAAAUACUGAGGAGGGUGGAAAGAAGGACAAUCUGGUAAGAGCCAAGCGGUUCACACCUGAAGAAGAUGAGAUUGUGAAAGGUUCUGUUAUGAAGUACAUAGAGGAUCACGAGUUAGGUGAUGAAGGUGUGAACAUGAUCUUAAACUCUAGCAAGCACCCUGAACUGAAAGGUUGCUGGAAAGAAAUAGCGUCUUCCAUUCCAUACAGACCAUAUAAUGCUAUUUAUUAUCGUGCUCGGAUUUUAUUUAUGAGGUCUGAGAGCCGGAAAUGGACUCAAGAAGAGUAUGACAUGGUUUUGAAAUACCAGGAAGAGCAUGGUAACAAGUGGAGGGCCUUGGCAGAUGAACUUGGUAAACAUACAUGGCAUGUGAAGGAUACUUGGCGCAGGAUAAAGUUACGUGACAGGAAGAAAGGAAAUUGGUCACAAGAAGAGUAUCAGAGAUUAUUCGAUCUGGUGAAUACUGAUCUGCAAUUGAAACUUUCUGAAGAGAAGAGGUCCAAGCAUGGAAUGUUGCGGGACAAUAUUGCUUGGACUGCAAUUAGUGAUGAGUUAUCCACUCGAGCACAAGCGGCUUGCUGUUUAAAGUGGUACAAUCAAUUAACAUCACCUAUGGUAGCUCAAGGUGUAUGGGCUGAUUCAGAUGACUAUCGUCUGCUAAGUGCACUUUAUAGCCUGGAUGCAACUUGCAUGGAAGAUGUCGGAUGGGAUGAUCUUAUUGAUACCAGAGAUGGAGAUUUAUGUCGAAAGCGUUGGAACCAGAUGGUUCUACAUCUAGGUCACAUUGGAAAUAAAUCAUUUGCUGAACAAGUUGAAGUAUUGGCUCAAAGAUACUGCCCACAUCUUCUUGAAGCAAGAGAAACCUGGGAUAGCAAACCACGGGUUCCCUGAUCUUCCCUUCUGUAUCUGUGGAGUUUGAAGCCUGAUGUCAGAAGAAAAUCACCUCUGAAGGUACAAGCCUUAUGAGGAAAAUGGCAGCAUGCUUUCAACCAUUCAGGACUUCCAGGCUGGUGGAUUCUUGAGCUUUCCAGACUGGAAAGGUUCGUCAAUGGUAACUAAAACAACUUCUGAAUUCAAUUCAAAGCCU